rnacentral:rRNA from 1 species
CCCUACGGGGGGCAGCAGGAGGAAUAUUGGUCAAUGGCCGCAGGGCUGAACCAGCCAAGUCGCGUGAGGGAUGACGGUCCUAUGGAUUGUAAACCUCUUUUGUCAGGGAGCAAAGGGCGCCACGUGUGGCGUUUUGCGAGUACCUGAAGAAAAAGCAUCGGCUAACUCCGUGCCAGCAGCCGCGGUAAUACGGAGGAUGCGAGCGUUAUCCGGAUUUAUUGGGUUUAAAGGGUGCGCAGGCGGAAUGUCAAGUCAGCGGUAAAAUUUCGGGGCUCAACCCCGUCGUGCCGUUGAAACUGGCGUUC